UACGUAGGGUGCGAGCGUUAAUCGGAAUUACUGGGCGUAAAGCGUGCGCAGGCGGCUUCGCAAGUCAGGCGUGAAAUCCCCGGGCUUAACCUGGGAAUGGCGUCUGAAACUACGGAGCUGGAGUGUGGCAGAGGGAGGUAGAAUUCCACGUGUAGCGGUGAAAUGCGUAGAUAUGUGGAGGAAUACCGAUGGCGAAGGCGGGUCUCUGGGCCGAUACUGACGCUGAGGAGCGAAAGCGUGGGGAGCAAACAGG
rnacentral:rRNA from 1 species